CCUACGGGCGGCAGCAGUGAGGAAUAUUGGUCAAUGGGCGUAAGCCUGAACCAGCCAAGUCGCGUGAGGGAUGAAGGUCCUAUGGAUCGUAAACCUCUUUUAUAAGGGAGUAAAGUGCGUGACGUAUUCAGUUUUGUAUUUACGUUAUGAAUAAGGAUCGGCUAACUCCGUGCCAGCAGCCGCGGUAAUACGGAGGAUCCGAGCGUUGUCCGGAUUUAUUGGGUUUAAAGGGUGCGUAGGCGGUAUGUUAAGUCAAUGGUGAAAGGCUGUGGCUCAACCGUAGAAUUGCCGUUGAAACUGGGAGGCUUGAGUAUGUUAGAGGCAGGCGGAAUGCGUGGUGUAGCGGUGAAAUGCUUAGAUAUCACGAAGAACACCGAUUGCGAAGGCAGCCUGCCAGCACAUGACUGACGCUGAGGCACGAAAGCGUGGGGAUCAAACAGGAUUAGAUACCCCAGUAGUC
rnacentral:rRNA from 1 species